rnacentral:rRNA from 1 species
GUGUCAGCAGCCGCGGUAAUACGAAGGUGGCAAGCGUUGUUCGGAUUCACUGGGCGUACAGGGAGCGUAGGCGGUUGGGUAAGCCCUCCGUGAAAUCUCCGGGCCUAACCCGGAAAGUGCAGAGGGGACUGCUCAGCUAGAGGAUGGGAGAGGAGCGCGGAAUUCCCGGUGUAGCGGUGAAAUGCGUAGAGAUCGGGAGGAAGGCCGGUGGCGAAGGCGGCGCUCUGGAACAUUUCUGACGCUGAGGCUCGAAAGCGUGGGGAGCAAACAGGAUUAGAAACCCCCGUAGUCC